AGAGUUUGAUCCUAGCUCAGGAUGAAUGCUGGCGGCGUGGAUGAGGCAUGCAAGUCGAGUGGGUUUAGACCCACGGCAGACGAGGUAGGAACACGUAGGUACGUCCCCCAAAGUCAGGGAUAAUCCGGCGAAAGUCGGAACAAUACUUGAUGGUCCCGCAAGGGUAAAGAUUUAUCGCUUUGGGAACGGCCUGCGGUCUAUCAGCUUGUUGGUAAGGUAACGGCUUACCAAGGCUACGACGGAUAGGGGAGCUGAGAGGCUGACCCCCACCGAGGGAACUGAGACACGGUCCCUACUCCUACGGGAGGCUGCAGUCGAGAAUCUUCCGCAAUGGGCGAAAGCCUGACGGAGCGACGCCGCGUGGUUGAUGAAGUCCUUAGGGACGUAAAAACCUUUUAUGAGGGAAGAAGUUUAUUGACAUUACCUCAUGAAUAAGGGGCUCCCAACUCUGUGCCAGCAGGAGCGGUAAUACAGAGGCCCCGAGCAUUAUCCGGAAUCACUGGGCGUAAAGGGUGCGUAGGCGGCUAUGUUAGUCGGAUGUUAAAUCCCGGGGCUCAACCCCGGAAUCGCGUUCGAAACGGCAUGACUAGGAGAAGUGAGAGGUGUGUGGAACUCACGGUGUAGGGGUGAAAUCCGUUGAUAUCGUGGGGAACACCAAAUGCGAAGGCAACACACUGGCACUCUCUCGACGCUGAGGCACGAAAGCGUGGGUAGCGAAUGGGAUUAGAUACCCCAGUAGUCCACGCCCUAAACGUUGUCAACUGGCUUUUUCGAGUAUCGACCCUCGAAGAGGCGAAGCUAACGCGUUAAGUUGACCGCCUGGGUAGUACGACCGCAAGGUUAAAACUCAAAGGAAUAGACGGGGACCCGCACAAGCGGUGGAGCGCGAGGCUUAAUUCGUCGCUAAACGAAAAACCUUACCGAGGCUAGAAAUCCAGCUGCACGCCCUGGGAAACCAGGGAAGCUUUCGAAGGUGCUGGACAGGUGAUGCAUGGCUGUCGUCAGUUCGUGGCUUGAGCUGUUCCCUUAAGUGGGGAAACGAACGCAACCCUCGUUGCCUGUUAUAAGUGUCAGGCGAGACUGCUCCCUCACGGGAGAGGAAGGUGAGGAUGACGCCAAGUCAGCAUGUCCCUUGAUGCCUCGGGCUGCACUCACGCUACAAUGGUACGCACAACGGGACGCAAUACCGCAAGGUGGAGCCAAUCCUAAUAAAACGUACCCCAGUUCGGAUUGAGGUCUGCAACUCGACCUCAUGAAGUCGGAAUCGCUAGUAAUCGCGGAUCAGCAUGCCGCGGUGAAUACGUUCUCGGGUCUUGUACUCAAAAUUAAAUGCGCCGGGCAGGCGCACGAUCUAAGUGGUUCAAAUCCACUCCUGUGAGAUUAAUACUCUUACAGCGUAGCGAAAUAACAGGACCUUCUCCGCGAGGAGGUGGU
rnacentral:rRNA from 2 species